rnacentral:rRNA from 1 species
UACGUAGGUGGCAAGCGUUAUCCGGAUUUAUUGGGCGUAAAGGGAACGCAGGCGGUCUUUUAAGUCUGAUGUGAAAGCCUUCGGCUUAACCGGAGUAGUGCAUUGGAAACUGGAAGACUUGAGUGCAGAAGAGGAGAGUGGAACUCCAUGUGUAGCGGUGAAAUGCGUAGAUAUAUGGAAGAACACCAGUGGCGAAAGCGGCUCUCUGGUCUGUAACUGACGCUGAGGUUCGAAAGCGUGGGUAGCAAACAGG